rnacentral:rRNA from 1 species
GACGAACCGUGCGAACGUUAUUCGGAAUCACUGGGCUUAAAGGGUGCGUAGGCGGGUUGCCAAGUCUGUGGUGAAAUCCUCCAGCUUAACUGGAGAACUGCCGUGGAUACUGGCGACCUCGAGGGGUGUAGGGGCUUGCGGAACUGUGCGUGGAGCGGUGAAAUGCGUUGAUAUGCACAGGAACUCCGGUGGCGAAAGCGGCGAGCUGGACACCUUCUGACGCUGAGGCACGAAAGCUAGGGGAGUGAACGGG